rnacentral:rRNA from 1 species
CCUACGGGAGGCAGCAGUGAGGAAUAUUGGUCAAUGGACGAGAGUCUGAACCAGCCAAGUAGCGUGAAGGAUGACUGCCCUAUGGGUUGUAAACUUCUUUUAUAUGGGAAUAAAAUGUUCCACGUGUGGGAUUUUGUAUGUACCAUAUGAAUAAGGAUCGGCUAACUCCGUGCCAGCAGCCGCGGUAAUACGGAGGAUCCGAGCGUUCUCCGGAUUUAUUGGGUUUAGAGGGAGCGUAGGUGGAUUGUUAAGUCAGUUGUGAAAGUUUGCGGCUCAACCGUAAAAUUGCAGUUGAAACUGGCAGUCUUGAGUACAGUAGAGGUGGGCGGAAUUCGUGGUGUAGCGGUGAAAUGCUUAGAUAUCACGAAGAACUCCGAUUGCGAAGGCAGUUCACUGGACUGCAACUGACACUGAGGCUCGAAAGUGUGGGUAUCAAACAGGAUUAGAUACCCCAGUAGUC